rnacentral:rRNA from 1 species
AAACUUCGCAAUAAGCGAAAGCUUGACGGGGCUAUCCCGAGUGCCAUCCGCUGAGGAUGGCUUUUCUCUAGUAUAGAUAGCUGGAGGAAUAAGGAGAGGGCAAGUCUGGUGUCAGCCGCCGCGGUAAUACCAGCUCUCCGAGUGGUGUGGAUGAUUAUUGGGCCUGAAGCAUCCGUAGCUGGCUGGACAAGUCCCCUGUUAAAUCCAGCGAUUCAAUCGUUGGCGUGCGGGGGAUACUGUUCGGCUAGGGGGCGAGAGAGGCCGUCGGUAUUCUCGGGGUAGGGGUGAAAUCCUAUAAUCCCGGGAAGACCACCAGUGGCGAAGGCUGUCGGCUAGAACGCGCUCGACGGUGAGGGAUGAAAGCUGGGGGAGCGAACCGG